rnacentral:rRNA from 1 species
CCUACGGGGAGCUGCAGUGAGGAAUAUUGGUCAAUGGCCGGAAGGCUGAACCAGCCAAGCCGCGUGAGGGAGGAAGGCGCAGAGCGUCGCAGAUCUCUUUUGCCGGGGGACAAAAGGCCGGACUCGUCCGGUCCUGAGGGUCCCCGGAGAACAAGCAUCGGCAAACUCCGUUCCAGCAGCCGCGGUAAUACGGGGGAUGCGAGGGUUAUCCUGAUUCAUUGGGUUUAAAGGGUGCGCAGGGGGGCCUUUAAGCCGGCGGGGAAAUCGCGGGGCUCAACCCCGCCGUGCCGUCGGAACUGGGGGCAUUGAGUGCGGCGGAGGCAUGCGGAAUGUGCGGUGUAGCGGUGACAUGCAUAGAUAUCGCGCAGAACCCCGAUGGCGAAGGCAGCGUGCCGUGCCGCCACUGACGCUGAGGCACGAAAGCGCGGGGAUCGAACAGGAUUAGAUACCCGAGUAGUC